AACUCUCUUUAAUAUCUGGUUUAAUAGAGUAGAACUGGAUUCUGAUACUUCUGCAUUCAGUCCAUUACCAUCCAUUGUUUUGGUUGAAGUGUAUGGACAAAAUCCAGCCUCACACAAAUAUGUAGUUGGAAAAAGGAGGAAUAUAUAGAAUCCAGAUAAUUAUGGAUAUUCUUCAAUACCUCUUUGACAGGGAAUGGUUUUGUGAAGGUUAGCUGCAAUAUGGACUCUGAAACCAUAUCUGAACUGUACUUAUUACAUGAAAACUCAUUGGUAUGCAGAAGUUUUUGUGCAUGCUUCCUAUUUGUCAGAGUAUUAAAAAGAUACAUCCUCAAGGUUGAGAUUUAAUAAAAAUAUUUUUUCUGCUUCCUUUAUCAAGAAAUUCUUAAGUGAAAACUGGCCUUUCUAAAAAAUAAGUAUAUGGCAAUGAAGACCACAGUGGUUGCUAGUACACUUUGAUGCCUCUGUCUUGGUUUGUGCCAAGGCACCAGUGAUUUUACCCAGCACUGCCUUUGUGCCAUUGGUGCACUAUUGGUGCAAAUGCCAAUACAGUGAAAGGGGUGAAUAACAUCUUAGUAUUAUUUUGAAAAUAGCUUGGAUCUUAAACCUGAAAGAAUCUCAGUAACUCCCAGGGGUCCAUGGACCAUGCUUUGAGAACCACUGAAGUAGAGAACUCCAUGGUUUCUCACUAGCUGUUCUAUUCAGCUUGGUUAUUUUUUGAGAAGGAUAUGAAAUAACUUCUUGUAUUUUUAAGGAAUUGGCAUACAGUGUGGCUUUCCCAGGCUUGUCACAAAUUAAGAACUUGAUCGUUUAUGGAAGUUCCUUUUGGGUGUCAUCAAAUAAAAUAUUUAAGGCUGUAGUGUUAGUAUGCUAUAGUGAUUGACAAUGUAUUUCAAAAUACUCUGUUUCACAUCAUCUGAGGCUCCUUCUCUGGAUUGCUUUAACUGAAUACAUCUCUCUCACAAGUGUUUGUUGCUCUACUUUGUUUGAAGAAAUAAGAUUCCUAUUUCCUGUUUCUUCCCUUCUGUUUUCCCUAGUGAGGGUGGGACUAGAGAUGAAAUUUCUCAUUUUCUCCCCAAAUAUCAUACAUUUAAAAGACAUUCUGCUGUAGGAAAGCAGUUAUUUAUUGAUUGAUUGCUGUUUGUUCAAUACUGUGUUAAAUGUCACGGUCCCAGACCCUAAACAGCUUUUGAGGAAUGCAGGGAGCACUCAGCAUCACUCUGUCGUAUUGGUACAGUUUAUCACUACGCUAGAUUAGAGGGAUUCUGUGUCACCCUUCAAAUGUAAGGUAUAUUUAUGGGUGGAUAUGGGAACAAAUCACCCAUUUGUGUUAUUAAUUUAGGAAGGCAAAGUCUAAAACUAAAUACAGUAAGUUCCUGUUAGUGUAAGAACAUAUUUUCUGUGUGUAGAAACAGGUGUUUGUGUCUGUGGGCACACACACAUAACUAUGCAGGUAUAAAGAAAAGUUCAGUGAAGAUAAAAACAACUUUUACAGUGGUUGAUGCUAGAAGAAGAAACAAAGGAUUAGGGUAGAGGGAAGAUACUCUUUUAAAAUCCUUUUUUACUGUAUGAAUUUUUAAAUCACAUGCAUAGAAUUCUUUUAAAAUAGUUUUAAAAUAGCAAAAAAAAAUGUCAUGGGAAGAUAAUUUAUAAACUCAUUAAAUAGUAAGGCAAAAAAAUAGUAAGGCAGCAUAUAAAGUGUAAAAAUGUGUGUUGCUGAGUUCAAAGUUGUACUAAAGAGCUCAGUUUGAUCUGAAUAUUCAAAAAGGCUUCAUGAAAGAUUUAAGAUGAGUUGAUAAGGCUAGUAGAAAAGGGAAAUGCUGUAGACAGAAUGUGUCUGGAUAUCAGCAGAGCAUUUGAUAAAAUCUCUCAGAACAUUGUCAUAGACCUUAGAUAAUUGGCUGAAAUGUGAAAUUUAAUACAGUUUCAGAUAUUUGUUGAAUCUUUGAGUUGAAUAACUAGUUGCAUGACCAUAACAAAAAGUGUUAAUUAAUGGACCAUUGAUAGCUAGGUACCAGGCCUGUCUUAAGGUUCAGGGCUCUGACCAUGGGCUUAUCGUGUUUAAUAUUUUUACCAGUAACUUAGUUAAGGACAUUCAGUGUGCAUUUAUUGAAUACCUCCUAGGUUCAAAAAUCAAAAGUAAUUAAGGGGCUGCUGGGUGGCUCAGUUGGUUAAGCGUCGUACUCUUAAUCUCAGCUCAGGUCUUGAUCUCGGGGUCCUGAGUUCAAGCCCCACAUUGGGGUCCACUCUGGGCAUGAAGCCUACUUUAAAAAAAAACAAAAACAAAAAAAAGUAAUUAAGAUAGUUCCUAUUUUUUAAUGUGAAAGGGUAAUAAAAUGAUCAUGUAAACAAAUAACUGCUGGAAUAUAAAUUUAAUAGGCUGUUUAUAUACAGGGUGAAGGGAUGUAUUGUUUGAUAAUAAGAACUAGAAAGAUCUCAGUAUAUUGACUAGAAAAAUUCUCCAAAUCUAACAAGAUAAAAUUUUAUACAAGUAAAUGUAAUUUAUUUAUACAAAUUUAUACAAACAUUUAUACAAAUAAAUGUUUCUAUAUCUACAUGUAGAUAUAGAAAAACUACAUGGGUAUAAAAUGGGAGCGAUCUAGCAUAACAUGUUUGGGGGGAAAAAACAGGACUUCUGAAAUUUCUAGCAGAAUGGCAGGGUACAUUACUUAACAUUCUUCUACACAACACUCAAAAAUGCUUAGUAAAAUGUUAAAAUUAAAAUAAUUCUUUUUAAAUACAUAGUAUUUACUUACUUUACAUACUUACACCAAAAAAGUAAGGAAAAUCCCUUGGGAGCAAAAAUGAGUAGGAAGAUAGUGUGCCCUUUCCUGUUGUAUGGCAAACUAAUUUUUCUGAAGUACCCUGUCACUAUCACAUAAGUAGAUCUGUUAGAAUUUGAAUAAGCAUUAACGGGCUUCCAAGGAGUAAGGGGAAUCUCCCAAGUCCCCCCAACCCUAUUAAUUAAUUUUGAUGAACCCACUCAAACUGGAGUGUUGGGAGUGAGUGUUGAUGUGAAAGUCACUCUGGAGUCAAAUGCCAAAACCAAACAACUGUUCCUACUGCAAAAUGAAGAAACUAACACUGAAAUUUCUGCGUUAAAUCCAGGACCCUAGGAAACAGCUAGAGUUGUUAGCAGUCCCUGGCCACUACUAGCAGAAACAAGGAAACAUAGGUACUCAAAAUUUCCAUAGAUU